rfam:Streptococcus sp. DD11 genomic scaffold scaffold00006, whole genome shotgun sequence.
UAAUCCUUUAAUUCUAUCCAGAGAGAUAGGCAAGGAGCAAAGUAAAAAAGAUGGGUGGAGUGCAGACAGGUGCGUCUUGUUUGCCAUACCCAGCUGUAUUUUCUGAAGUCUCCUUGCAAAAGGAGACUUUUUAUUUAU